rnacentral:misc_RNA from 1 species
GUGUGGGUAUGUUGGAUCCCUGCUUGGGCAGCGACAACGUACUCUUCGCGCCUGUUCAUUAGAUGGCUGAAUCUCGUGUUCUGUCAUCUCACUCUCGGUUCCCUGUGUUGCAUACCUAUUGCGAUGGUAUCGUGUUGCCUAAAAUGACCCUAUUUCGCCUAACGUUGCGACUAAUAUUUGCGAUCGAAGGUGAACCAAAAAGCGUUCGUCGUGUUCCACCCCGUUCACAAAACUCGUUGCGGGACUUGGGCCAUGACGAUAUGCUCGAAUUCUCGGAUGCGGAAUACUAAGCGGGUACGAGGACGUUCGUUCUCUGUUUACCCCUAAACAAGCGUUCUACGCUCUGUGCGAAUGACGUUCUUCCUCGUCUUGGACUUUGGUCCAAACGAUGUCGACGUCGAAGAGGAAUGCUACCUGGUUGAUCCUGCCAGUAGUCAUAU